GGCCGCAUCACAUUGAAACACUGUUUCCCGUAUGCUCACGGAAGUUAAGCAUCAUCGAGCCUUGGUCAGUACCAAGAUGGGUGACAAAUUGGGAACACCAGGUGCUGUAAG